UUGCAACUGCGCAGAGGAGCAGCAACUCCUAAUGCUUGAUGCACAACAAGGCGACACUGGAAUAUGAUUUAAAGGUGGAGGGGGUGGAAGUAUGAGCAAGGCUUCCACCCUCCAAAUCUUGGCCACUUUUUUUUUUCCUAACAACACAGUCUAAGCUGUGAUGUCUUUCCCCCUCUUCUGCAAAUAGUGGAGUGAUACAAAACAGCCAGAGCACCUUCUAAUCCCUAGGAAGAAGAUUACUAUUGGGGAAGCUGGAUGAACAAGGUUUAUGUUUUUUUUUUUUUUGGUGCAAAUGGAUUUUUAAAAAGUCUUAGAUCUUUCCAAUGAUCCCCCCUGGAACUCAUUGCCACUGGCUGGAUUAUACAGAGAAUGGCGAUGCUCUGGGCAAUGUCUUGGGUCGUCUACUUGUGGAUAAGUGCCUGGAUGUUUUUACUGUGUCAGGGAUCCCUCCAUCAGCAGAGCUUUCAGCACCAUCAUCUGCACCAAGCAGGAUUUGUUUCAGAGCACUUUCCAAACCACAGAAAACUGGGAGAAAUCGAAGGAGGAACCUGCGAAGUCAUAGCAGCACACAGAUGCUGUAAUAAGAAUAGAAUCGAAGAAAGGUCUCAGACCGUGAAAUGCUCUUGUUUGCCAGGAAAAGUGGCUGGUACAACCAGAAACAGACCCUCCUGUGUUGAUGCUUCAAUAGUCAUUGGGAAGUGGUGGUGUGAAAUGGAGCCGUGUUUAGAAGGGGAAGAAUGUAAGACCCUCCCUGAUAACUCAGGAUGGAUGUGCGCAACUGGCAAUAAGAUAAAGACCACAAGAUUUCAGGGUCACUCAUGACCACCUUCAUGCAAGGCACGAUGGCAUCUGAGAGGCCCUGAAACCUAGUAGAUUCAUCCGAGAUCCUAAUCUUUUUUGGCGGACAUCAUAUGGGCCUCAAGAGGCCAUAUUAAAAUUUUAUUUAAAAACAAAAACGCAUAUUAAGGAUUUACAAGCCAAAUGGAUAUUUUACUUGCACUUUUGACUUUAUACGGACAAACACGCGGUUUCACUAUGUGAAAUAGGUUUCACCAUGGGGAGCAAAAAAAAAAUCAA